rnacentral:rRNA from 1 species
GCAGUCGAACGAGGUCCAUGGGAGCUUGCUCCCGGAAGACUUAGUGGCGAACGGGUGAGUAACACGUGAGAAACCUACCCCGGAGUGGGGAAUAACCCGAGGAAACUCGGACUAAUACCGCAUACCUUCCGAUGGUCGCAUGGCCGACGGAAGAAAGAAUUUCGCUCUGGGAGGGUCUCGCGGCCUAUCAGCUUGUUGGCGGGGUAACGGCCCACCAAGGCAACGACGGGUAGCUGGUUUGAGAGAACGAUCAGCCACACUGGAACUGAGACACGGUCCAGACUUCUACGGAAGGCAGCAGUAGGGAAUCUUGCGCAAUGGGGGAAACCCUGACGCAGCGACGCCGCGUGCGGGAUGACGGCCCUAGUGGUUGUAAACCGCUUUCAGCAGGGACGAAAAUGACGGUACCUGCAGAAGAAGUCCCGGCUAACUACGUGCCAGCAGCCGCGGUAAUACGUAGGGGACAAGCGUUGUCCGGAUUCAUUGGGCGUAAAGAGCUCGUAGGCGGUUCAGUAAGUUGGGUGUGAAAGCUCCGGGCUCAACCCGGAGAGGCCACUCAAUACUGCUGUGACUAGAGUCCAGUAGAGGAGCGUGGAACUCCUGGUGUAGCGGUGAAAUGCGCAGAUAUCAGGAAGAACACCGGCAGCGAAGGCGGCGCUCUGGGCUGGUACUGACGCUGAGGAGCGAAAGCAUGGGUAGCAAACAGGAUUAGAUACCCUGGUAGUCCAUGCCGUAAACGUUGGGCACUAGGUGUGGGAGGGAAUCAACCCCUUCCGUGCCGUAGCUAACGCAUUAAGUGCC